CGCAGCCGCGGUAAUUCCAGCUCCAAUAGCGUAUAUUAAAGUUGUUGCAGUUAAAAAGCUCGUAGUUGAAUUUCGAGAUCAAUAUGUUGGUCGUGCCUCGGUACGUACUAGCAUUAUUGAUUUCUCCCUUUCUGAUGAACCAUGAUGCCAUUAAUUUGGUGUCUUGGGGAAUCAGGACUGUUACUUUGAAAAAAUUAGAAGUGUUUAAAGCAGGCUCACGCUUGAAUACAUUAGCAUGGAAUAAUGAAAUAGGACGUUUGAUUCUAUUUUGUUGGUUUCUAGGAUCGACGUAAUGAUUAAUAGGGAUAGUUGGGGGCAUUAGUAUUCAAUUGUCAGAGGUGAAAUUCUUGGAUUUAUUGAAGACUAACUACUGCGAAAGCAUUUGCCAAGGAUGUUUUCAUUAAUCAAGAACGAAAGUUAGGGGAUCGAAGACGAUCAGAUACCGUCGUAGUCUUAACCAUAAACUAUAGCCGACUAGGGAUCGGAUGAUGUUAAUUUUUUAAUGUACUCAUUC
rnacentral:rRNA from 1 species